rnacentral:rRNA from 1 species
GACGAACGCUGGCGGCGUGCUUAACACAUGCAAGUCGAACGAAGUGGCGAACGGGUGAGUAACGUGUAAUCAACCUGCCCUUCAGAGGGGGACAACAGUUGGAAACGACUGCUAAUACCGCAUACUGAAGGAGGGGAUUGCGUCUGAUUAGCUAGUUGGAGGGGUAACGGCCCACCAAGGCGAUGAUCAGUAGCCGGUCAGAGAGAGUGAAGGACCACAAUGGGACUGAUACACGGCCCAUACUCCUAGGGGAGGCAGCAGUGGGGAAUCUUCCGCAAUGGACGAAAGUCUGACGUAGCAACGCCGGUUGAGUGAUGACGGGCUUCGGGUUGUAAAGCUCUGUUAAUCGGGACGCGGUACCGGAAUAGAAAGCCACGGCUAACUACGUGCCAGCCGCCGCGGUAAUAC